AGUGAACGCUGGCGGUAGGCCUAACACAUGCAAGUCGAACGGCAGCACAGUAAGAGCUUGCUCUUACGGGUGGCGAGUGGCGGACGGGUGAGGAAUACAUCGGUAUCUACUUUUUCGUGGGGGAUAACGUAGGGAAACUUACGCUAAUACCGCAUACGACCUACGGGUGAAAGCAGGGGAUCUUCGGACCUUGCGCGAUUGAAUGAGCCGAUGUCGGAUUAGCUAGUUGGCGGGGUAAAGGCCCACCAAGGCGACGAUCCGUAGCUGGUCUGAGAGGAUGAUCAGCCACACUGGAACUGAGACACGGUCCAGACUACUACGGGAGGCAGCAGUGGGGAAUAUUGGACAAUGGGCGCAAGCCUGAUCCAGCCAUACCGCGUGGGUGAAGAAGGCCUUCGGGUUGUAAAGCCCUUUUGUUGGGAAAGAAAAGCAGCAGGUUAAUACCCCGCUGUUCUGACGGUACCCAAAGAAUAAGCACCGGCUAACUUCGUG
rnacentral:rRNA from 1 species